AAACAAAUAUGAAAUUCGUCAGAUAUAUAGAUACACCAAUAUAUAGAUAUAUACAUAAGUAUGUGUGUAUAAAUCUCUCGCACUUCUUUAUCAAAGUUAAUUAGGGAAUGUUUUCCAUGUGGCCAGCUGAGAGCUGUGUCUUUUCCUUUGCCUUUGACUUUUCCCAUUGCCCGCGGCCCGUUACAAUUUCCCGUUGCAUUACGCAUACGCCGCAUUGACCGCAACGCGCACAACGUGCUGAAUGGGGCCUGGUGUCCAUUUGAGUUAGUCGGAUUGCAGCUGAUUUGCGUGCGAGGCUCACUCGCAGCGCACUCAUUGAGUGAAAGAGAGCACGCAAAAGAGAGAGAGAGAGAGAGCGCCAGGGAGAGACAGUGAGAGCGCGCUGCAGCCAGCUGCAGCAGCAGCUGCGUUUUUGCUCUUUACAAAGCGCGUGCGGCGCUCUUAAGGCACUCACACACACACACACACACACAUACACACGCAUGCCUGCAAGGCGACGUCGUCGUUGCUUCGUCGUGCUGCGACCGAAGCGCAUUCGCAUUCGCACUCGCACUCGCACUCGCGCUCGCAACGUUAGCUUCGCUGUCGACGUCGCUGUCGCUGUCGCUGCCGCUGCCGCUGCUGUCGUCGCCUCCGUUACGUUUUGCACGUUCUUUGCGCUUUGGACUUUCGCAGAGAUUUCACACGCGAUGCGAUUGCAGUUCUUGCAGACACCUUCAUACGUUCGUUCGUUCGCUCGUUCGUUUCACUUGCAACGCGGCGGCAACAACAGCAGCAGCAACAGCAACAAACGACACUCAAGCAACAUUGCCUGCAACAAUAUUUUGUUUGUUCAUUGACAAAAGCAUAAACUCAAAACACAAUAACAACAACAACAACAAAAUGUUUUAAAACAAAAUUCAUAGCAAACACAAGCGUUUUUAAACAAAUCUAUAACAAAAUAUAUAUAUAUAUAUAAAUACAACAAAAAUCUACACGAGAAAAAUAAUCAAA